GGCCUGUUGGUGUAGUAGUUAGCGCGCUUGCCCUUUGUCAUCCUUUAUAAAUAAGCCAGGCAUAUUUACAAAAGGUCGGCUAGUAGGAGGUCGUGGGUUCAAAUCCCGCAUGGGUUA